rnacentral:rRNA from 1 species
UACGUAGGGGGCGAGCGUCGUCCGGAAUUAUUGGGCGUAAAGAGCGUGUAGGCGGUUCGGUAAGUCUGCCGUGAAAACCUGGGGCUCAACCCCGGGCGUGCGGUGGAAACUGUCGGGCUAGAGGAUGGUAGAGGCGAGUGGAAUUCCCGGUGUAGCGGUGAAAUGCGCAGAUAUCGGGAGGAACACCAGUAGCGAAGGCGGCUCGCUGGGCCAUUCCUGACGCUGAGACGCGAAAGCUAGGGGAGCAAACAGG